rnacentral:tRNA from 2 species
CGGGAUGUAGCUCAGUCCGGUUUAGAGUACUCGUCUGGGGGGCGAGGGGUCGGAAGUUCGAAUCUUCUCAUCCCGACAA